CAGUCGCCACGGUAAUACGUAGGGUGCAAGCGUUAAUCGGAAUUACUGGGCGUAAAGCGUGCGCAGGCGGUUCGCUAAGACAGAUGUGAAAUCCCCGGGCUUAACCUGGGAACUGCAUUUGUGACUGGCGGGCUAGAGUAUGGCAGAGGGGGGUAGAAUUCCACGUGUAGCAGUGAAAUGCGUAGAGAUGUGGAGGAAUACCGAUGGCGAAGGCAGCCCCCUGGGCCAAUACUGACGCUCAUGCGCGAAAGCGUGGGGAGCAAACAGGAUUAGAUACCCGUGUAGUCCCUGUCUCUUAUAC
rnacentral:rRNA from 1 species